CACGUAGGGGCAAGCGUUGUCCGGAAUUACUGGGCGUAAAGGGCGUGUAGGCGGCCAUGUAUGUCAGGUGUGAAAGGCCUCGGCUUAACCGAGGCAUUGCACAUGAAACUGUAUGGCUUGAGUGCAGGAGAGGGGAGUGGAAUUCCUAGUGUAGCGGUGAAAUGCGUAGAUAUUAGGAGGAACACCAGUGGCGAAGGCGACUUCCUGGACUGUAACUGACGCUGAGGCGCGAAAGCGUGGGUAGCAAACAGGAUUAGAUACCCU
rnacentral:rRNA from 1 species